rnacentral:lncRNA from 10 species
AGAAGCAUGACACCAGCAUCUGCUUCUGGUGGGGGCCUCAAGAAGCUUCCAAUCAGGAGAAGGUGAAGGGGGAGCAUGCAUGUCACAUGGUAAAAGAGGGAGCGAAAGAGAAGAGAGGACUUCCCUAAAAUGAAGAAACUGGGAAAUUGAGGCUCAGAGAGAUAGUGUGGUUUGCCCAGAGAUCUCAUCCCUCCAGGCUGUAGCAGAGCCAAAACUCAAACCCAG